UGGAAAUAGAAACCUGAGAGAAUGAGAAGCAAGAGUCAGAUUUUGAUUCAAAAGUUGAAAGAAGAUUUUAAUUCUGCAAGGUAUCCACCCCUGCUUCAGCCUCUGAAGAGGAAAGCAAGAUACUCAUCAGAGACUCAGCUAUUCCUCCAUUCCGAAGCAUCCCAGAGGAAUUUCUGAAGGCAGGAGGGAAUCCUGAGAGACAGAUGAGCAGAACAGAAGAAGACUUCUGUGGACAGAUUCAGGAAGGGCAAAGACUGUCUCUUACAUAUAAAACUACAUCUCCCACCUCCAACAUGUGAUUUGGCGUCUAGGAAGUAUCUAUAUGUGCUUGAAGAAAGAAGGAAGAGAGAAGGAAAGAAAAGAAGGAGGGUAGAAAAGAAGUGUGUGGACAUCUUAUUUUCCAGG
rnacentral:lncRNA from 1 species